GACGAACCGUGCGAACGUUGUUCGGAUUCACUGGGCUUAAAGGGCGCGUAGGCGGACGGUCAAGUCAGGGGUGAAAUCUUUCAGCUCAACUGGAAAAGUGCCUCUGAUACUGAUCGUCUCGAGGGAGGUAGGGGCAUGUGGAACUUCCGGUGGAGCGGUGAAAUGCGUAGAUAUCGGAAGGAACGCCGGUGGCGAAAGCGACGUGCUGGACCUCUUCUGACGCUGAGGCGCGAAAGUGUGGGGAUCAAACAGG
rnacentral:rRNA from 1 species